rnacentral:rRNA from 1 species
UACAGAGGGGGCAAGCGUUAUUCGGAAUUAUUGGGCGUAAAGGGCGCGUAGGCGGCCUGGCAAGUGGAAGGUGAAAUCCCUCGGCUUAACCGAGGAACUGCCUCCCAAACUGCUUGGCUUGAGACCGGGAGAGGUGAGUGGAAUUCCCAGUGUAGCGGUGAAAUGCGUAGAUAUUGGGAAGAACAUCAGUGGCGAAGGCGGCCAUCUGGACUAACACUGACACUGAGACACGAAAGCGUGGGGAGCAAACAGG